CUUUAGUGGAAUAAUGGAUAUGAUAAACAAGUUUGAAAAGCUGAGUUUCUUAUUUGAAUGCAUGGAAUUCUCAGAUUUUUAAAUUAUUCAAUUUUAUUUAAUGGCAUGUCAUUUUAUGUUCAUGUGUUUCAUAUAUCAUCCAAUGAUGGGUAAACAAAAUUAAUGGGUAAGGAAGUUUAAGUGAGUAAUCAUUUUUUCUUAUUCUAGAAUUCCUAAUGCAUGUAGAAUGGUCAAGAGGAAGAGAAAUAAGAAGAAUGGUGCGGGUGGUGGUACAAUCAUGGUCCCCUGGUCCUACGCUGAUGGAGUGGCAACCUUACUGGGUCAUCUACCAUGAGCUGGUGAUGACUACAAAGGAGUACACGCGAGAGGUCAUGGUUAUAGAUCCUAAAUGGCUUGUGGAAAUGGCGCCUAGAUUUUUCAAGGUGGCAGAUUCUACAAAGCUGAGCAAGCGAAAACAACAAGAAAGGAUUGAGCCACUUUAUGACAGAUAUCACGAGCCGAAUUCUUGGCGUUUGAGUAAACGCCGUGCUUGAGAUGUCUCGAUGUCAUUCAUUUUGAUUAUGGGUAUUGCUGUAAAUCGGAAUGGUGUUGUUUGCAUGUUUGUCCCUUGUUAUUUGAUGUGGUGCAUUCAGCAGGAGAGAAAUACCCAGCACUUUGAGGAUUCAGGAAAAACCAUUUCAGAUCUUAAAUUAUUUUUAAGACUCUUUAGGACUAGGUUGUAGUGUUAGGUUUUCAUUCUUUUGUUUCAGUUCAUGGUUUAAUGGACUUUUGUACUUUAUGUGCUUGAUUUUAUUGUAAAAGGGAGUUGCUAGUUCUAUUCAGAUUAUUGUUACACUACAAGAAUUUUAUUGUAUUAUUAUUGUUACACUACAUGAACUUAAUUAUAAAAGGGAGUUGCUCGUUCUAUGCACUGUUUUCAGUCAUUAA